AACUGCGACCCCAGGUCAGGCGGGAUU
rnacentral:rRNA from 1 species